CGAGCUAUUGCUAGUAGGUCUAUGAUCUUGAUAGAGAUCGGUCAAAACAGCACCGAGUAAUAAAGAAGUUCUAGAAUACUGUAAAAACAGCAUGAAAACUGAACUAAGAACCGGAGCUUGUAUCCUGUUACUAGUAAUGGUGGUGGUGGUUCCUGAAGGCUGCGCUGCCUUUGGGAUGUUUACAGGACAUAGAAAUGGCAAGAGAACGCUACAGAAGGAAAGUUUAGAAGAGCUAUGUGCAAUUGCAAGAAAGAUGGGAUGUCGUUUGCCGUAUUACAGUCAAUUUCCAAAUCAAGAUCAUAAACAAAUCUCAAGAAAAGAGCGGCAGAACCAGUCUCGGUGAUGCUUAAGUAAUGGUAUUAACUGGGAUCAUCAUCUUAGAAUAUUACAAUAAUUAUCUAGACUCGAGGCCUAAUGGUAACGUUUAUUAUUUAAUGAUGAAAAUUUGUUCACUAUCUUAGCUAUAAAACUACUUUUGUAAGCUCCGUUUUUCAUGUUAAAUAUAGCAAAGUUCUACUUUAAUAAAAUAUCAGUAAAUAUCUGUAUUUAAGUUAAACUAUAUUAUAUAGAAUAUACUGAAAUAAAUGGGACAUGAUAGUUUAAACGAGGCGGGGACCGCCGCCUAAGCUUAACUAUCUCUAUAGUACUGAGCGGAGUUUUUGGUUUCUUCUUGCUUCUUGCCGAUGGUAGUUAGUUUCAAUAAACAAUUACGCCUUUGUGUUUAAUUCUCAGUUACACUUUGGUGGUAAAAAAUGAGAAUGAAGGAAUAAAAACAAUAGCACUG